UCUGAAACAGGGCAAACCCGUCGAAAGGCGGGGACGCAAAAUCACCGGCCUAACGGGCGCUCCCAGCGGCGCUCCACGGUAGCGGGAUUGCCAGG
rnacentral:ncRNA from 1 species